rnacentral:rRNA from 1 species
CCUACGGGUGGCAGCAGUGAGGAAUAUUGGUCAAUGGACGAAAGUCUGAACCAGCCAAGCAGCGUGAAGGAUGACGGCCCUAUGGGUUGUAAACUUCUUUUAUAUGGGAAUAAAUGGUUCCACGUGUGUGAUUUUGUAUGUACCGUAUGAAUAAGGAUCGGCUAACUCCGUGCCAGCAGCCGCGGUAAUACGGAGGAUCCGAGCGUUAUCCGGAUUUAUUGGGUUUAAAGGGAGCGUAGGUGGAUUGUUAAGUGAGUUGUGAAAGUUUGCGGCUCAACCGUAAAAUUGCAGUUGAAACUGGAAGACUUGAGUGCAGUAGAGGUAGGCGGAAUGCGUGGUGUAGCGGUGAAAUGCUUAGAUAUCACGAAGAACACCGAUUGCGAAGGCAGUUCACUGGACUGUAACUGACGCUGAGGCUCGAAAGCGUGGGUAGCAAACAGGAUUAGAUACCCCUGUAGUC